rnacentral:lncRNA from 1 species
CUCAUUUCCAGUAGUUAUAAAAGUGGUCUUAAAACAAUAGCUAUACCAAGAGAAAGGGAAUGUAACACUCUCCACUCAAGUUUACUUGGAAAACUUAUUGGAAGGAAUUAUACAUUAAAUUGAUGAAUAAAUAGUUUGAUACCAUUUUUAUAAUGGAAUAUUCUUACUCCAUUAAAAUUCUGAAAUUUGAGGCUGCCUCAUGAAUAAAAAUCACUCAGCCAUCUGAGCAAAUUAAGAAAAAAGUCGACCGUAUUAAUGGUGUGUUUGCAUCUGCUACGUUUGUUAGCGUGAAGGUAAUCGGACAAGAGCAAAAAUGGGUGGAUCAGACUG